rnacentral:Y_RNA from 1 species
GGCUGGUCUGAUGGUAGUGGGUUAUCAGAACUUAUUAACAUUAGUGCUACUAAAGUUGAUAUACACACCCCCAUAUUGCUAAAUUUGACUGGCUUAAA